rnacentral:rRNA from 1 species
GUGGGGAAUAUUGCACAAUGGGCGAAAGCCUGAUGCAGCAACGCCGCGUGAGGGACGACGGCCUUCGGGUUGUAAACCUCUUUUAGUAGGGAAGAAGCGAAAGUGACGGUACCUGCAGAAAAAGCACCGGCUAACUACGUGCCAGCAGCCGCGGUAAUACGUAGGGUGCAAGCGUUAUCCGGAAUUAUUGGGCGUAAAGAGCUCGUAGGCGGUCUGUCGCGUCUGCUGUGAAAACUGGUGGCUCAACCUCCAGCCUGCAGUGGGUACGGGCAGACUAGAGUGCGGUAGGGGAGAUUGGAAUUCCUGGUGUAGCGGUGGAAUGCGCAGAUAUCAGGAGGAACACCGAUGGCGAAGGCAGAUCUCUGGGCCGUAACUGGCGCUGAGGAGCGAAAGCGUGGGGAGCGAACAGGAUUAGAAACCCGAGUAGUCC